CUACGGGUGGCUCCAGUAAGGAAUAUUGCGCAAUGGAGGCAACUCUGACGCAGCCAUGCCGCGUGCAGGAAGAAGGCCUUAUGGGUCGUAAACUGCUUUUAUUUAGGAAUAAACCCCCGAACGUGUUCGGGGCUGAAGGUACUAAACGAAUAAGCACCGGCUAACUCCGGGCCAGCAGCCGCGGUAAUACGGAGGGUGCAAGCGUUAUCCGGAUUUAUUGGGUUUAAAGGGUGCGCAGGCGGGCUAUUAAGUCAGUGGUGAAAUCCCGGGGCUCAACUCCGGAACUGCCAUUGAUACUGAUAGUCUUGAGUUUGGUUGAAGUGGGCGGAAUGUAGCAUGUAGCGGUGAAAUGCAUAGAUAUGCUACAGAACACCAAUCGCGAAGGCAGCUCACUAAGCCAAAACUGACGCUCAUGCACGAAAGCGUGGGGAUCAAACAGGAUUAGAUACCCUUGUAGUC
rnacentral:rRNA from 1 species